GGGGGCCGCCGGGGCCCGUGCCGGUGCAGUGCUCGCCGUCCGGCUUCAGGUUGCUCAUGGCGAGGGAGACGCGGUGAGGAGAACGCCGUGCGUGGGCGGGCGCCGGGCCCCGAGCUCGUGAAAACCGGCUGGUACCUGGUGUCACUUAGUUAGAGCUGCCGCCCCUACUACCACGCGGAGCCGCCUGAAGACUAGGUUUCUGCCCAGCGCCCGGCGCCUGAGUUCCUUUCUGCUAACUGGGGCAUCCUGAAAACAGUCUCCGACUGGCCACCGCAGAGAGGUGAAAGGAUGGGCUGGGGUCAGGUGUCCCGCUCAUGCUCUGCUGCCCAGACUUGACGCGAGCUUAGCUCCUGUGUUUGGGGUGCGAAGCCACUCUCACAGGCGGUUGACUUGGAAAAACUGGGUUUGCACACUCGAACCAUUUAGGAUCUCCGACGAUAGGCACAGGCUUAGAGCCCUACAGAACUUCCGGUGUGGGACUCUGAUGAAUACGGUUAACUCCACCAGGCUUGAGAGCUGUGCUGCGGAUAAUUUAUCAUCUCCAUCUUAAUCUGUUCUCUCACAGGUACCCACAGAGACCAAAAGAGGACAUCAGAUCCACUGGAGCUGGAGUUACAGACAGUUGUGAGCCACCCAGUGUGGAUUUUGGAAACUUAACUUGCGUUCUCUGAAAGAACAGCAAGCACUCUUAACUGCUAAACCAUCUCUCCAGCCCCAUAGACAACAUUUUUUAUUAAGAUUCAUGUGUGUAUGGGGGGUAGUGCAUGCAGAUGAAUGUGUAGGUAUAUGUUCCCCUGUUGCAUGUGUGUGAGGCCGAAGCAGGGCAUUGGGUAUCUUCUAUUGCUGGGUCUCUCACUGAGUGAGAAGAUCUGCUGUUUCAGCUAGACUAGUGAGCUCUUGAGAUCUACCUGUCUCUGUGUUCCAAAGCUGGUAUUACAGGUUUGCAGCCAUGCCUGA